AACGAACGCUGGCGGCGUGCUUAACACAUGCAAGUCGAACGAGAAAGUUUCCUUCGGGAAAUGAGUAGAGUGGCGCACGGGUGAGUAACGCGUAGGUAAUCUACCCUUAUAUUUGGGAUAACAGACCGAAAGGUCUGCUAAUACCGGAUACCCUUUUGGUUAUGCGAAUAACUUUGAGGAAAGGUGGCCUCUUCAUGAAAGCUACCGUAUAGGGAUGAGCCUGCGUACCAUUAGCUAGUAGGUGGGGUAACGGCCCACCUAGGCAACGAUGGUUAGCGGGUCUGAGAGGAUGAUCCGCCACACUGGAACUGGAACACGGACCAG
rnacentral:rRNA from 1 species